CGGCGGACGGGUGAGUAACACGUGGGCAACCUGCCUUGUAGAGGGGAAUAGCCUUCCGAAAGGAAGAUUAAUACCGCAUAAUAUUACAUUUUCGCAUGAAGAAGUAAUUAAAGGAGCAAUCCGCUACAAGAUGGGCCCGCGGCGCAUUAGCUAGUUGGUGAGGUAACGGCUCACCAAGGCGACGAUGCGUAGCCGACCUGAGAGGGUGAUCGGCCACAUUGGGACUGAGACACGGCCCAGACUCCUACGGGAGGCAGCAUG
rnacentral:rRNA from 1 species